rnacentral:rRNA from 1 species
CCAGCAGCCGCGGUAAUACGUAGGGGGCUAGCGUUAUCCGGAUUUACUGGGCGUAAAGGGUGCGUAGGCGGUCUUUCAAGUCAGGAGUGAAAGGCUACGGCUCAACCGUAGUAAGCUCUUGAAACUGUAAGACUUGAGUGCAGGAGAGGAGAGUGGAAUUCCUAGUGUAGCGGUGAAAUGCGUAGAUAUUAGGAGGAACACCAGUUGCGAAGGCGGCUCUCUGGACUGUAACUGACGCUGAGGCACGAAAGCGUGGGGAGCAAACAGGAUUAGAUACCCUGGUAGUCCACGCCGUAAACGAUGAGUACUAGCUGUCGGAGGUUACCCCCUUCGGUGGCGCAGCUAACGCAUUAAGUACUCCGCCUGGGAAGUACGCUCGCAAAGUGAAACUCAAAGGAAUUGACGGGACCCGCACAAGUAGCGGAGCAUGUGGUUUAAUUCGAAGCAACGCGAAAACUUACCUAAGCUUGACAUCCACUGACCUUCCUAAUCGGAGCUUCCUUCGGGACAGUGGUGACAGGGGUGCAUGGUUGUCGUCAGCUCGUGUCGUGAGAUGUUGGGUUAAGUCCCGCAACGAGCGCAACCCUUGCCUUUAGUUGCCAGCAUUAAGUUGGGCACUCUAGAGGGACUGCCAGGGAUAACCUGGAGGAAGGUGGGGAUGACGUCAAAUCAUCAUGCCCCUUAUGCUUAGGGCUACACACGUGCUACAAUGGGUGGUACAGAGGGCAGCCAAGUCGUGAGGCGGAGCUAAUCCCUUAAAGCCAUUCUCAGUUCGGAUUGUAGGCUGAAACUCGCCUACAUGAAGCUGGAGUUACUAGUAAUCGCAGAUCAGAAUGCUGCGGUGAAUGCGUUCCCGGGUCUUGUACACACCGCCCGUCACACCAUGGGAGUUGGGGGCGCCCGAAGCCGGAUUGCUAACCUUUUGGAAGCGUCCGUCGAAGGUGAAACCAAUAACUGGGGUGAAGUCGUAACAAGGUAGCCGAU